UGGCAGCGGAAGCAGCGAUAGGUACACCCUUCGCUGCUAUUGCGUCAUCUUGUACUUCAUGUCUUCAUGUUCAUUGUAAGGAAGAGAAGUGUGUGUGAAAGACAGAUUGUUGUCAAGAUUUUCUUUCUCCCUUUUCUGUGGGAAUUUAGGGAGAAAAAAAAAAAGCUGAGAGCGAGGGCAAGAGUCUUCACAGGCAACUGCAAAUCCACUGAUCCCCUUGUAUUUUGCAUAUUGUCAAAGCCUGGCUAAUUUGUCAAAAUGAAGACAUCCGUCUGAGCGGAAUGAUCUUAGAGCCAAGCUGGUGUCAGAACCAGGAAAUAUCUGGGCUGGGCUUUGAAGAGCCAGAGUGGGAAAAGCUGGGCAACUCCCUGCCGCAAGGCGCUGGCACUUUUCUCUAUUUCAAGCCUGUUGGUCUUCUGAGGGCAUUUGUAUCUUCUUCCAUAUCUCUGUGGGUUUCAUCCAGGUUCCUCCCCACAGUCUAAAGACAUGCAGGCAAGGUGAACUACUUAACCUGGGCUUUAGGUGCGAACAUAUUUGUCUGAUUAUAUGUGUUAGCUGCCGUAACACUACUACAAGUCACCCUGUGCAUGCUUGGUGACGAUACACUCCCCAUCAAUUAUUAUUGCUGAAAUAAACCAACGAAAUAAAUAUGUUAAAUACGUCUACACCAUGUAUGAACCAUAAGAAUUAAACACUGGCCAUGUUUUUAUUUGCAUAUAAAACGGACUUUUGCUGUAAAACAAAAAUAACCCAGCCCCAAAUAACAGUAAAGCCAUUUAGUAACAAAUAGCACAGCAUGCCUUCCCAGCUUUUUACAAAUCUCUGUGUUAUUUCCCCAAAGGACUGUAA